GAUAGAUGGGUUAGUUGCUUAAUCUUAGGGAUUGUAUAAUCAUAGGCUUGAUUUUCCUUCCUGUUUAGAUAUUGUCUCUCAUGUAUAAAUAGAUUGUAAUCUCUAUUGUGAGAUAAUAACAAUUAUUAUAUUUCUACAUGGUAUCAGAGCCUUUCUCGUAGAGAUUUAAUUUUUUCUCUCUCUCGUCAAGUUUUAAAAUUUUUUUUGGAGACUUAGGGUUCUGUUCAUUUGGGUUACCCAUAAAGGGUAACAUUUGGAUCUCACCGUCGUUAGAGUCGCCACACCGUCCCCUUGUCAGAUCUAAAGUUUGUUUGCCGUUCGGGUGUUGGGUGGAGGUGUUUUAGGUACUAUUCAUAUACAGGUACUGUUCACGUGGUACUGUUCACGCCGGGUACUGUUUUCUGAUUCUGUGUUUCUUUUGUUGCUAUCGUUUUGGGUUGGUUGUCCUUAUGGCUGAAGUUAAAACCACCACCGUAACUGAUGUGAUUCCUAUUAUGACUAAAACCACGGAACACAAAUUGAAUGGAUC
rnacentral:lncRNA from 1 species